rnacentral:rRNA from 1 species
GGUUGAUCCUGCCAGUACUAUAUGCUUGUCUCAAAGAUUAAGCCAUGCAUGUCCAAGUAUAAGCACUCUUAUACAGCGAAACUGCGUACAGCUCAUUACAUCAGUUAUUAUGUCUUUGCAAGUGGAUUUUUACAUGGAUACCCGUAGAAAAUCUAGAGCUAAUACAUGCGUCAAGUUGUGGGUAGCAAUACUCGCAAUGUGUUUAUUAGAUUCGAGCCAAUCCCUGGCAACAGGAGUUUUUUGGUGAUUCAUGAUAACCGUUCGUAUCCUUCAAAUUUGAAGGAAAGUGCAUU